CCAUAUUAAUUGGCCACCUUUGCUUUAUAUAAAGAUCCUUAGACAUAAGAUUUUUUUUCAAACUAUAAUAAAUCUAUUAAAGUAAAUAGAAGAUAAGUUAAAAAGUAAAAGAUAUUAUCUUAGAUAUAUUAUUAAUAGCCAAAAGGUAGAAAAAAGAUGAAGAAAAGUUACCAAAGUGGCGGCUAAGGUUAUAAGUGGCAGCUAUAGUUUAAUUGGAUGAAAGUAAGAUGAACGCUAAGCAAAAUGGAUGUAACCUCUACAUAUAAAUAAAAAGUAUUGGAAGUGAGAGGUAUCUCAUUCCAUAUUU
rnacentral:lncRNA from 1 species